rnacentral:tRNA from 1 species
GCGUUUGUAGUCCAAUGGUUAGGAUAAUUGUCUUCCAAGUCGAACUCGGGUUCGACUCCCGGCAAAUGCA